UACGUAGGGGGCGAGCGUUACCCGGAUUUACUGGGCGUAAAGCGCGUGUAGGCGGCUGGUCAAGCGUGGUGUGAAAUCUCCGGGCUCAACCAUGGAAGUGCAUUCGAAACUGCAGAGCUAGAGUCCUGGAGAGGAAGGUGGAAUGCUUGGUGUAGAGGUGAAAUUCGUAGAUAUCAAGCGGAACACCGGUGGCGAAGGCGGCCUUCUGGACAGUGACUGACGCUGAGACGCGAAAGCGUGGGGAGCAAACAGG
rnacentral:rRNA from 1 species